CAGCCGCCGCGGUAAUACGUAGGUGGCAAGCGUUGUCCGGAAUUAUUGGGCGUAGAGCGCGCGCAGGCGGAUAGGUCAGUCUGUCUUAAAAGUUCGGGGCUUAACCCCGUGAUGGGAUGGAAACUGCCAAUCUAGAGUAUCGGAGAGGAAAGUGGAAUUCCUAGUGUAGCGGUGAGAUGCGUAGAUAUUAGGAAGAACACCAGUGGCGAAGGCGACUUUCUGGACGAAAACUGACGCUGGGGCGCGAAAGUCAAGGGAGCGAACGGGAUUAGAUACCCCAGUAGUCCCUGUCUCUUAUACA
rnacentral:rRNA from 1 species